rnacentral:lncRNA from 1 species
AUAAAACCACAAAGAUGGGGAAAACACAGAGCAGAAAAACUGGAAACUAUAAAAAUCAGAGCGCCUCUCCUCCUCCAAAGGAAUGCAGCUCCUCACCAGCAAUGGAACAAAGCUGAACAGAGAAUGACUUCGACAAGUUGAGAGAGGAAGGCUUCAGAAGAUCAUGCAGAUGACAUGACUGAAUAUCUAGAAAACCCCAUCAUCUCAGCCCAAAAUCUCCUUAAGCUGAUAAGCAACUUCAGCAAAGUCUCAGGAUACAAAAUCAAUGUGCAAAAAUCACAAGCAUUCUUAUACACCAAUAACAGACAAACAGAGAGCCAAAUCAUGAGUGAACUCCCAUUCACAAUUGCUUCAAAGAGAAUAAAAUACCUAGGAAUCCAACUUACAAGGGACGUGAAGGACCUCUUCAAGGAGACCUGCAAACCACUGCUCAAUGAAAUA